UACGUAGGGUGCAAGCGUUGUCCGGAAUUAUUGGGCGUAAAGAGCUCGUAGGCGGUCUGUCGCGUCGGCUGUGAAAACUCGGGGCUCAACUCCGAGCUUGCAGUCGAUACGGGCAGGCUAGAGUUCGGCAGGGGAGACUGGAAUUCCUGGUGUAGCGGUGAAAUGCGCAGAUAUCAAGGAGGAACACCGGUGGCGAAGGCGGGGUCUCUGGGGCCGAUACU
rnacentral:rRNA from 1 species